AUAUCAAUAAGCGGAGGAAAAGAAACUAACAAGGAUUCCCCUAGUAACUGCGAGUGAAGCGGGAAAAGCUCAAAUUUAAAAUCUGGUGGUCCUUUGGCCAUCCGAGUUGUAAUUUAGAGAAGCGUCUUCCGCGCUGGACCGUGCAUAAGUCUCCUGGAAUGGAGCAUCAUAGAGGGUGAGAAUCCCGUCUUUGACAUGGACUGCCUGCAUGUUGUGACGUACGCUCU
rnacentral:rRNA from 1 species